AUGGAGAGUUUGAUCCUGGCUCAGGAUGAACGCUAGCGGCAGGCCUAAUACAUGCAAGUCGAACGGUAACAGGACCAGCAAUGGUCGCUGACGAGUGGCGCACGGGUGCGUAACACGUAUGCAAUCUACCUUUAACUGGAGAAUAGCCCCGAGAAAUCGGGAUUAAUACUCCAUAAUAUUAUGAAGUGGCAUCACUUUAUAAUUAAAGCUCAGGCGGUUAAAGAUGAGCAUGCGCGAUAUUAGCUAGUUGGUGAGGUAACGGCUCACCAAGGCUACGAUAUCUAGGGGAUCUGAGAGGAUUUACCCCCACACUGGUACUGAGACACGGACCAGACUCCUACGGGAGGCAGCAGUAAGGAAUAUUGGACAAUGGGCGCAAGCCUGAUCCAGCCAUGCCGCGUGCAGGAUGACGGCCCUAUGGGUUGUAAACUGCUUUUGUACGGGAAAAAACCCUUCUACGUGUAGAAGGCUGAUGGUACCGUAAGAAUAAGGAUCGGCUAACUCCGUGCCAGCAGCCGCGGUAAUACGGAGGGAGCUAGCGUUAUUCGGAAUUACUGGGCGUAAAACGCACGUAGGCGGCUUUGUAAGUUAGAGGUGAAAGCCUGGAGCUCAACUCCAGAAUUGCCUUUAAGACUGCAUCGCUUGAAUCCAGGAGAGGUGAGUGGAAUUCCGAGUGUAGAGGUGAAAUUCGUAGAUAUUCGGAAGAACACCAGUGGCGAAGGCGGCUCACUGGACUGGUAUUGACGCUGAGGUGCGAAAGCGUGGGGAACAAA
rnacentral:rRNA from 1 species